GGUUAAGUUAGAAAGGGCGCACGGUGGAUGCCUUGGCACUAGGAGCCGAUGAAGGACGGGACGAACACCGAUAUGCUUCGGGGAGCUGUAAGCAAGCUUUGAUCCGGAGAUUUCCGAAUGGGGAAACCCACCACUCGUAAUGGAGUGGUAUCCAUAUCUGAAUACAUAGGAUAUGAGAAGGCAGACCCGGGGAACUGAAACAUCUAAGUACCCGGAGGAAGAGAAAGCAAAUGCGAUUCCCUGAGUAGCGGCGAGCGAAACGGGACCAGCCCAAACCAAGAGGCUUGCCUCUUGGGGUUGUAGGACACUCUGUACGGAGUUACAAAGGAACGAGGUAGAUGAAGAGGUCUGGAAAGGCCCGCCAUAGGAGGUAACAGCCCUGUAGUCAAAACUUCGUUCUCUCCUGAGUGGAUCCUGAGUACGGCGGAACACGUGAAAUUCCGUCGGAAUCCGGGAGGACCAUCUCCCAAGGCUAAAUACUCCCUAGUGACCGAUAGUGAACCAGUACCGUGAGGGAAAGGUGAAAAGCACCCCGGAAGGGGAGUGAAAGAGAUCCUGAAACCGUGUGCCUACAAGUAGUCAGAGCCCGUUAACGGGUGAUGGCGUGCCUUUUGUAGAAUGAACCGGCGAGUUACGAUCCCGUGCAAGGUUAAGCAGAAGAUGCGGAGCCGCAGCGAAAGCGAGUCUGAAUAGGGCGAAUUGAGUACGUGGUCGUAGACCCGAAACCAGGUGAUCUACCCAUGUCCAGGGUGAAGUUCAGGUAACACUGAAUGGAGGCCCGAACCCACGCACGUUGAAAAGUGCGGGGAUGAGGUGUGGGUAGGGGUGAAAUGCCAAUCGAACCUGGAGAUAGCUGGUUCUCUCCGAAAUAGCUUUAGGGCUAGCCUCAAGGUAAGAGUCUCGGAGGUAGAGCACUGAUUGGACUAGGGGCCCCUACCGGGUUACCGAAUUCAGUCAAACUCCGAAUGCCGAUGACUUAUCCUUGGGAGUCAGACUGCGAGUGAUAAGAUCCGUAGUCGAAAGGGAAACAGCCCAGACCGCCAGCUAAGGUCCCAAAGUAUACGUUAAGUGGAAAAGGAUGUGGAGUUGCUUAGACAACCAGGAUGUUGGCUUAGAAGCAGCCACCAUUUAAAGAGUGCGUAAUAGCUCACUGGUCGAGUGACUCUGCGCCGAAAAUGUACCGGGGCUAAACGUAUCACCGAAGCUGCGGACUGUUCUUCGAACAGUGGUAGGAGAGCGUUCUAAGGGCUGUGAAGCAAGACCGGAAGGACUUGUGGAGCGCUUAGAAGUGAGAAUGCCGGUAUGAGUAGCGAAAGAGGGGUGAGAAUCCCCUCCACCGAAUGCCUAAGGUUUCCUGAGGAAGGCUCGUCCGCUCAGGGUUAGUCGGGACCUAAGCCGAGGCCGAAAGGCGUAGGCGAUGGAUAACAGGUUGAUAUUCCUGUACCACCUCCUCACCAUUUGAGCAAUGGGGGACGCAGGAGGAUAGGGUAAGCGCGGUAUUGGAUAUCCGCGUCCAAGCAGUUAGGCUGGGAAAUAGGCAAAUCCGUUUCCCGUGAAGGCUGAGCUGUGAUGGCGAGCGAAUUAUAGUAGCGAAGUUCCUGAUUCCACACUGCCAAGAAAAGCCUCUAGCGAGGUGAGAGGUGCCCGUACCGCAAACCGACACAGGUAGGCGAGGAGAGAAUCCUAAGGUGAUCGAGAGAACUCUCGUUAAGGAACUCGGCAAAAUGACCCCGUAACUUCGGGAGAAGGGGUGCUCUGUUAGGGUGCAAGCCCGAGAGAGCCGCAGUGAAUAGGCCCAGGCGACUGUUUAGCAAAAACACAGGUCUCUGCGAAGCCGUAAGGCGAAGUAUAGGGGCUGACGCCUGCCCGGUGCUGGAAGGUUAAGAGGAGCGCUUAGCGUAAGCGAAGGUGCGAAUUGAAGCCCCAGUAAACGGCGGCCGUAACUAUAACGGUCCUAAGGUAGCGAAAUUCCUUGUCGGGUAAGUUCCGACCCGCACGAAAGGCGCAACGAUCUGGGCACUGUCUCAACGAGAGACUCGGUGAAAUUAUAGUACCUGUGAAGAUGCAGGUUACCCGCGACAGGACGGAAAGACCCCGUGGAGCUUUACUGCAGCCUGAUAUUGAAUGUUGGUACAGCUUGUACAGGAUAGGUAGGAGCCUUGGAAACCGGAGCGCCAGCUUCGGUGGAGGCAUCGGUGGGAUACUACCCUGGCUGUAUUGACCUUCUAACCCGCCGCCCUUAUCGGGCGGGGAGACAGUGUCAGGUGGGCAGUUUGACUGGGGCGGUCGCCUCCUAAAAGGUAACGGAGGCGCCCAAAGGUUCCCUCAGAAUGGUUGGAAAUCAUUCGCAGAGUGUAAAGGCACAAGGGAGCUUGACUGCGAGACCUACAAGUCGAGCAGGGACGAAAGUCGGGCUUAGUGAUCCGGUGGUUCCGCAUGGAAGGGCCAUCGCUCAACGGAUAAAAGCUACCCCGGGGAUAACAGGCUUAUCUCCCCCAAGAGUCCACAUCGACGGGGAGGUUUGGCACCUCGAUGUCGGCUCAUCGCAUCCUGGGGCUGUAGUCGGUCCCAAGGGUUGGGCUGUUCGCCCAUUAAAGCGGUACGCGAGCUGGGUUCAGAACGUCGUGAGACAGUUCGGUCCCUAUCCGUCGCGGGCGCAGGAAAUUUGAGAGGAGCUGUCCUUAGUACGAGAGGACCGGGAUGGACGCACCGCUGGUGUACCAGUUGUUCUGCCAAGGGCAUCGCUGGGUAGCUAUGUGCGGACGGGAUAAGUGCUGAAAGCAUCUAAGCAUGAAGCCCCCUCAAGAUGAGAUUUCCCAUUCCGCAAGGAAGUAAGAUCCCUGAAAGAUGAUCAGGUUGAUAGGUCUGAGGUGGAAGUGUGGCGACACAUGGAGCUGACAGAUACUAAUCGAUCGAGGACUUAACCAA
rnacentral:rRNA from 2 species